UACGUAGGGUGCAAGCGUUGUCCGGAAUUAUUGGGCGUAAAGCGCAUGUAGGUGGACUGUUAAGUUUGAUGUGAAAGCCCCGGGCUUAACCUGGGAACGGCGUUGAAAACUGGCAGUCUUGAAUCAGUCAGAGGGUCGUGGAGUUUCCGGUGUAGCGGUGAAAUGCGUAGAGAUCGGAAAGAACACCAGUGGCGAAGGCGGCGACCUGGGACCAGAUUGACACUGAGGUGCGAAAGCGUGGGGAGCAAACAGG
rnacentral:rRNA from 1 species